rnacentral:rRNA from 1 species
AUGAUCCCCGGACUGCAAUGUUUCCCGGGUGAUGUCAUCCAAUCCUCAAGCUACAAGUCAAGAAAGAGCUACUCUGGCAUGAAUGUAUUGGUUGUUGGAUCUGGCAACUCUGGAAUGGAAAUUGCUUAUGACCUUGCGGCCCAUGGUGCCAAUACUUCAAUCACUAUACGAAGCCCGGUAUGUACACGCAUUAUAUAUUAUUUUUUGACCUGGAAACACUAG